UUUCUGAAGUAAUUGCGAAUGAAUGAGAAUUUUUUCAAUCUGACAGUGGGGCUGAAAGCCUUGGCAUGUAGUGUAAAACUGCAUCACCAAUGGGGGUUUGAAUGAAUGCUUCUUGGAACAGAGCAGCAAUAAGGGUGAUACUCCUGUUUGCCAUUGAUAAAUCCUUGUGUACUGCAUGCAUGUGCUUGACUCACACUUUUUGGGAAUGAAGUGCAAAUUGGGUGGUAAGUUUCAUUCAAAGAUGCAUAUAAGCUUGAGACUGAUAGUGCACAAGUACCUUGAGGGAAAAAUGAAAAGGACUUUGAAAAGAAAGUUAAAAGAGCCUUAACCUGCUGAGUGGAAAGCAAGCAGACACACUAAAUGUGUGAAAGAUUGCUGUUGUGGUGUACAUCUACUGCAUCAGUUGGUGUGGUGCAAACACAAUGGUGCAUCUUCUUACGUCGCCAUUGCUAAUUCAAUAAUGCGCAUUGAUUGGGAGUUAACACUAUUGCUUGCUGGCAAAGUGUGUUACCAUCGGUGGUUUAUGAAUUGGGAAUUGUUUGUGUGGUUAUUGGGAUU
rnacentral:rRNA from 1 species